rnacentral:lncRNA from 1 species
AAAAGUGUGUAGCACCUCCCCCUUCUCUCUCUUUCUCCUGCUUCCACCAUGUAAGAUGUGCCUGCUUCCCCUUUGACUUCUACCAAGAUUGAAAGUUUCUUGAGGUCUUCUCAGCCAUGCUACCUGUACAGCCUAUGGAACUUCUAGAACCGGAAGAUUGGAUCUUCUGAGAACAUCAGAGAAAGACUGUCCUUGCCAUCCACGCUACAGCAAAACUUCGGGACCUUGAACUUGGAGUUCGUAAU